AGUAGGGAAUCUUCCGCAAUGGACGAAAGUCUGACGGAGCAACGCCGCGUGAGCGAAGAAGGUCUUCGGAUUGUAAAGCUCUGUUGUUAGGGAAGAACAAGUACCGUUCGAAGAGGGCGGUACCGUGACGGUACCUAACGAGAAAGCCACGGCUAACUACGUGCCAGCAGCCGCGGUAAUACGUAGGUAGCAAGCGUUGUCCGGAAUUAUUGGGCGUAAAGCGCGCGCAGGCGGUUCCUUAAGUCUGAUGUGAAAGCCCACGGCUCAACCGUGGAGGGUCAUUGGAAACUGGGGGACUUGAGUGCAGAAGAGGAGAGCGGAAUUCCACGUGUAGCGGUGAAAUGCGUAGAGAUGUGGAGGAACACCAGUGGCGAAGGCGGCUCUCUGGUCUGUAACUGACGCUGAGGCGCGAAAGCGUGGGGAGCAAA
rnacentral:rRNA from 1 species